rnacentral:rRNA from 1 species
GAUGAACGCUGGCGGCGUGCUUAACACAUGCAAGUCGAACGGGAAACCUUUUAUUGAAGCUUCGGCAGAUUUAGCUGGUUUCUAGUGGCGGACGGGUGAGUAACGCGUGGGUAACCUGCCCUAUACAGGGGGAUAACAACCAGAAAUGGUUGCUAAUACCGCAUAAGCGCACAGGGCCGCAUGGUCCGGUGUGAAAAACUCCGGUGGUAUAGGAUGGACCCGCGUUGGAUUAGCCAGUUGGCAGGGUAACGGCCUACCAAAGCGACGAUCCAUAGCCGGCCUGAGAGGGUGAACGGCCACAUUGGGACUGAGACACGGCCCAGACUCCUACGGGAGGCAGCAGUGGGGAAUAUUGCACAAUGGGGGAAACCCUGAUGCAGCGACGCCGCGUGAAGGAAGAAGUAUCUCGGUAUGUAAACUUCUAUCAGCAGGGAAGAUAGUGACGGUACCUGACUAAGAAGCCCCGGCUAACUGCGUG